AGCGUCCGUAGCAGGUUCUGUAAAUCUUUUGUGAAAUUGUCGUGCUUAACACUACAACGUGCAAAAGAAACUGCAAAACUAGGGACCGGGAGGGGUCAGAAGUAUUUCGUGGGGAGCGGUAAAAUGCUAUAAUCCACGAAGGACUACCUAUGGCGAAGGCAUCUGACUAGAACGGAUCCGACUGUGAGGGACGAAAGCCAGGGGAGCGAACCGGAUUAGAUAUUAAGAAUCUUGUAUCUUUGAUUGUAGUGCAUGAUUUUCUUUGUUCGUCGAUAAAAACAUACUAUAAGAAGAUUGUGUUGCUGGAAUCUGAAUAUUAUAAAAUCUUGAUUCUUGACUAAUUACCCGAGUAGUCCUGGCUGUAAACGCU
rnacentral:rRNA from 1 species